GCAGAGGAGAGGGAUAAUUGAAGGAAAAUGAAAAACAGGAUAGGGUAAUUUCCACUUUUAUGAGAACCACCAUCACUAUUAACUGGGUAUCAGUUCAUUUAGGAUAGUAUUUCUGUACGUGAAACAGAAUACGAUCAAGUGUACGAUAGGUAGUCCUCGACUUACAAUAAUUUGUUUAGUGAUCUUUUGAAGUUGCAGUGGCACUGAAAAAAGUGACUUAUGACUAUUUUUGACACUUUUGACUGUUGUAGUAUCCCCAUGGUCAUGUGAUAAAAAUUCAGAUGCUUGGCAACUGGUUCAUAUUUAUGAUGGUUGCAGUGUCCCAGGGUCAUGUGAUCACCUUUGCAACCUUCUGACAAGCAAAGUCAAUUCACUUAACAACUGCAGUAUUAACUUAGCAACUGCAGAGAUUCAUCUAAUGAUUGUGACAAGAAAGGGGGCAAAAAGGAGGCGUAAAAUGGAGCAAAAUUCACUUAACAAAUUUUCUCUUAGCAUCAUAAAUUUUGGGGUCAAUUGUGGUCGUACGUUGAGGACUAACUGUACUAGCAGAUUUGUCUACAAGGGUGUCCAACCUUGCAGCAUUGAAGACUUGAGGACUUCAACUCCCAGAAUUCCCCAAGGUUGAUAUAGAAGAAAUCAAGAUGACAGCUGUAACCAUGGGAAUGAAACCCUCCCCCCUCUUUUAUGUGUGUCACACAGAAGCCAUGUGAAAAAUGGCUGGGCUUCAAUCCCACAAUCACAGUUACCUUCUUGACUUUUGUGACACACACACACACUGCAGGUGCUAUGAUUGUGGAACGAUCUAUGAAAUAACGUCUGUCCUGGAAAUUCCAUGCAAACAGAAUCCUAAUAUAGAAAGGAGGAAAAAUUCUGCCCAGUAAUAAUUGCUGUGUUAUUUUAUGGGGUAAUUUGUGCUUUUCCUGUGUAUAUUCAUGUUUUCCCAUGUAUAUAUGGGAAAACUCUGAAAGGCAUGCCUCUUACCCAGGAUUACAUGAAUGAUUCUUAUGAGCUCAGCUACCUGUGCUUUGGUGGACCCCUCCUGCCAUAAAAACAAUAAUGGAAUAUUAUAAUGCAUAUAAUGAAAUCUGAUUUUCAACAUUUUCUUUGUGUUUGUUCAGAGAAAUGGGAACAGUAGGUAGUAGAGGCAUUAUUUUGUAAUAGCGAUCUGUUGUUGCCAAUUGUGUCUACCACCUCUGAUUUAAGAUACUAAAUUUUAGUAUUCACACUAUGCUUAUCGAUUAUGAAUAAGUUGGUUGGUUGGAGGUUCACAUUUUGGGCCCAAAAUGUAAACAUUACUUGCCUGACUUAUUAAAAAGCAUAAUUAUAAGAAGUUAUUUAAAAAGCAUGAAAAUCAAUAACUUAAUUUUCAUCUUUUAAAAAAAAGUAAUAAAAGAUGGGUGCCUGGUGUCUAUUAUGCCUAAAAGAGGUGUUGGUCCUAUUCCCUUCUGCAGUUUGGAAAAGUGCUAUUUAACAGCUCAAGUAUAGUGCUGUAGUUUUUAAUCUCCAAGACGCUACUUAGAAUAUGAUCUCUUCUAUCUAUUAUAGUUGAGUGAAGCCUUCUGUUUUACUUAGUCUCAGCUCUCCAACAACAUCUGAGUAUAAAUAACAUUAUCUUUCAUUCCCUAAUUACUACAAAGAUUAUAUAUGUGUGUGUGUAUGUAUAUAUAUAUUUGUUUUCUGAGGUUUUCGCAAGUGUUUGAAUGUAGGUCUUUGGUUAUUCGGGUUUUUUCCCGCGUAAAAUUGGAAGUGUUUUUUGAAGAACACAAGAACUCAGUGUUUUUUGAAGAACACAAGAACUCAGUCAAAAAAGAGGAACCCACUUCUUCCCUGGUCCAACAUCUCAAAGCCACAGGACAUGAUACUGACUUUAAAAAGACCAGAACUAUCGCCAAAACUGAACACUUUAACAACAGAAUAAUCAGAGAAGCCAUCGAGAUAGAAAAACGCCCACACAGCAUGGGUUUGGGUUUGUGAUCAGAUUUUUCUAGUGCUUGGGUUUCAAAGUGUUCCAUGUAGAGGUUGGCAAUGACACGUGAGAGGGGUGAUCCCAUGGGUGCUCCUUCUAUUUGUUUGUAUUUUUGUCCGUUAUAGAUGAAGUAUGUGUUGGACAGGCAGUGAUUGGUCAGAUCUAGGAUGUGCUUAGCCCCCACCCAAACAGGACACACCCCCAUCCAAUCAGAGCACACAAAAAAAAACCCCAGCCAAUCAGAGCACAGCCAAGCUCCCACCCAAUCAGUUCAAACCCCCACUAGCAGUUAAAAAGGAAGAAACAGCUGUAAUCACACAUUGCUUCCAGAAGCACGAAGCUGAAGCCUGAAGAUGACGAAUGAGACUUCGUCGAAACGUCGCCAAGACACUUCCAAUUUUACGCGGGAGAAAACCCGAAUAACCAAAGACCUACAUAUAUAUAGGCUAGUUUCCUAUUUCCACAGACUUCCAGGCCACCUGCAAUUGAAGUCAGGCAAAUUAAAAACACAGACCAAAUCAUACAAUGAAACUAUCAAGUUAAAUCCAAUAUUGGCCCAGAAUGACAAGAUGCACAGGGAAAAACUACUGUAGACUAAUUCUAUCAGAAUAAGAACACAAUAAUCCAUCACUGCCAGAAGAAGCUAACAUAAUAGCUCUGAUCAGUCUUGAGAUAAAGUAAAUUACUUUGGCUUUUUUUUUUUAAAAAAAAAGGCAUGCACUCAAAAGUUUUUUACAAAACCGUUGUAAUUAGUAUUAAUUCAUUCUCCGACCUAUGUAGAACCAGGAAGACUGUGCAAGCAGUAUGUCAUCCGUAGAAAAGAUGUUAUUCUACAAAUGUUGAGGGAAACAAGAGGAGCACAGAAGUUUAAAUUCUCCAGUAAACUGUCAAUUAUUUUGUAUUUGUAAGGCAAUAUACGGACUGUAUAGCCUGUAAAGCUUUCCAGCAGGCAUCUGCAGCUGAAUCAGGAGGGCACAUCUUUCUACAAAUGCUUGUUUUAAUGUGAUACCAUGCUGAUUUUCCACAGCUGUUCCAUUUACAUGAACCUAUCCAAGAAAAUUGUCUCCAUAAGGUUCUCAUUGCCUGUUUUUCAGGACAAGGGGUGGGGUCUAGAGUUAAGAUUGAUGGCCUGGCAACUAUUUAUUUUGCUUUUCAUGAGCUAUUUAAUAAUGGGUCAAAAGCAAUAAAGUGUGUGAACCAUCCUUCGUUGGAAAAGACAACUAGUUAAACUCCAAGCUCUCAUCCAGAACCAAACAGAUGGAUGAAGGCUUCAGCCUCCGACAGACUGCAGGUUGGAUCCAGAUUUAGAUACACCAAGCACACAUGACUGAAACCAAUGCCAUGAGUUGUCACACUUAGAACAAUUCUACUGAAAUCAGAAUCCAACUCAAGAUUUCUAUAGUAAUUAGGCACAAUUAUGCUGCCUGAAAUUUCAGAUAAUCCUAUACUCCAAUUUAUACAAACUUCAAUUGUCUUCAUGCUUUGGAUAUCAAUUUACAAAGGAUUAUUGAUAAUAUCAAGAGAUUAAAGGCUAGAUACAGAUUUUAUAAAUCCACAGGCAAGUUCUCUUAUUGCUUAGUUUUUUCCAAUUUAACCAGCUUGCUCUGCUGAUAAUAUUUUUAAAAACUGGGUUUAACUAAAUUACUCAAACCCCCAAAUCUGCUUUCUACACUUUUCCUAUACACAACAGGCAUUUCAGAUACUUAAGACAACCAUAUGUUCAUUUGUCUAAAUUCUACAUUAAAGACAAAAAGAUAAUUUAUAAACUGUACUAGUUACUAAAUGUAGUCAGGCAGAUGCUAGCAACCAUCUGACAGUCUGUGAACGUCAGACUGAAUCGGAGUUCUAACAUUCUAAUACAAACCAGAAACAAAACAACUCUUUGGGUGUCAGGCACAAGGGUAAUAAUGCAGACCCUCCCCCUUUGUAAAUAUGCUUUAACAAAAAGACCCAAAUUGAACAAUAUAAUAUAAUCUUGCAUAUUUUGCCUCCCAUAAAUAUUAUGGGGAAAUGUUCAAUUCUGUUAAUUUUGGAUCAUUUUAAAAGUAUCUUUUAAAUGUGUAAUUUAAGUUUGGGGUGCAUAAAUGUCUCCUAGGAAUGUUAUGACCACUGACGUGGCUAUAAACACUGCAUUGCUAGUCACAAGGCAAACAACUAGGUCUAGUAUAAUUGCAAUGCGAUCCAGAUUAUAGUUAAAUAUUCUUAAAAUUGAUAUGUACUUCCACUUUUCAGUAUCCCUGAGCCAGCAUGGUCAUUUCAAUAUAGGCUUGUAUUCAGGGUAGGGGAAGCCCACUUACUCCAACCCCCAAAGCUUGCUUUACUGUAAAUGCAAACACAGGUCACAGAUUCCUGUAACACUAGCACCUCAGUACGUAAGAUUCAAAUUCAUGAAUUAACAUUCAGUUUGUAAAAACUAGCAUAUACUUUUCUUCCCUACCCCCAAGGUUUCUAAUUAAGCAUAGUUUAAUUAUAAUGACUCUUUCUCUUAUCUCUCCAAAGCCUGCUUUUAAAACACAUUGAAAUAGAACCUAUAACAGAGAGGAUUAUUUUUAAAAAAACC